rnacentral:misc_RNA from 1 species
AGCAGCCGCGGUAAUUCCAGCUCCAAUAGCGUAUAUUAAAGUUGUUGCAGUUAAAAAGCUCGUAGUUGAAUUUCGGGGUCAGUAGAUUGGUCGUGCCACUGGUAUGUACUGGUCUUACUGGCUCCUCCUUCCUGAUGAACCGUAAUGCCAUUAAUUUGGUGUUGCGGGGAGACUGGACUGUUACUUUGAAAAAUUAGAGUGUUUAAAGCAGGCUAACGCUUGAAUACAUUAGCAUGGAAUAAUGAAAUAGGACGUUCGAUCUUAUUUUGUUGGUUUCUAAGAUUGGCGUAAUGAUUAAUAGGGAUAGUUGGGGGCAUUAGUAUUCAAUUGUCAGAGGUGAAAUUCUUGGAUUUAUUGAAGACUAACUACUGCGAAAGCAUUUGCCAAGGAUGUUUUCAUUAAUCAAGA